AUAUGAAGUGCGUGAAGGUAGGAAUCUAAUUUUGUUAUAUCUAAUAGAUAUAAUAUCUAAUAGAUAUAAUAAAAUUAGAUUCCUAUCUUCACGCACUUCAUAUAU